AACGCUAGCUACAGGCUUAACACAUGCAAGUCGAAGGGCAGCAUUUUAGUUUGCUUGCAAACUAAAGAUGGCGACCGGCGCACGGGUGAGUAACACGUAUCCAACCUGCCGAUAACUCGGGGAUAGCCUUUCGAAAGAAAGAUUAAUAUCCGAUAGUAUAUUAAAACCGCAUGGUUUUACUAUUAAAGAAUUUCGGUUAUCGAUGGGGAUGCGUUCCAUUAGUUUGUUGGCGGGGUAACGGCCCACCAAGACUACGAUGGAUAGGGGUUCUGAGAGGAAGGUCCCCCACAUUGGAACUGAGACACGGUCCAAACUCCUACGGGAGGCAGCAGUGAGGAAUAUUGGUCAAUGGACGAGAGUCUGAACCAGCCAAGUAGCGUGAAGGAUGACUGCCCUAUGGGUUGUAAACUUCUUUUAUAUGGGAAUAAAGUAUUCCACGUGUGGGAUUUUGUAUGUACCAUAUGAAUAAGGAUCGGCUAACUCCGUGCCAGCAGCCGCGGUAAUACGGAGGAUCCGAGCGUUAUCCGGAUUUAUUGGGUUUAAAGGGAGCGUAGGUGGAUUGUUAAGUCAGUUGUGAAAGUUUGCGGCUCAACCGUAAAAUUGCAGUUGAAACUGGCAGUCUUGAGUACAGUAGAGGUGGGCGGAAUUCGUGGUGUAGCGGUGAAAUGCUUAGAUAUCACGAAGAACUCCGAUUG
rnacentral:rRNA from 1 species